UGGGGAAUAUUGGACAAUGGGCGAAAGCCUGAUCCAGCCAUGCCGCGUGUGUGAAGAAGGUCUUCGGAUUGUAAAGCACUUUAAGUUGGGAGGAAGGGCAGUAAGCGAAUACCUUGCUGUUUUGACGUUACCGACAGAACAAGCACCGGCUAACUCUGUGCCAGCAGCCGCGGUAAUACAGAGGGUGCAAGCGUUAAUCGGAAUUACUGGGCGUAAAGCGCGCGUAGGUGGUCCGUUAAGUUGAAUGUGAAAGCCCCGGGCUCAACCUGGGAACUGCAUCCUAAACUGGCGAGCUGGAGUAGGGCAGCAGGUGGUGGAAUUUCCUGUGUAGCGGUGACAUGCGUAGAUAUAGGAAGGAACACCAGUUGCGACGGCGACCACCUGAGCUCAUACUGACACUGAGGUGCGAAAGCGUGGGGAGCAAACAGG
rnacentral:rRNA from 1 species